rnacentral:rRNA from 1 species
GGGUUAGUAGGUUGGUCAUGCCUCUGGUAUGUACUGGUCUCACUGAUUCCUCCUGCCUGAUGAGCCGUAAUGCCAUUAAUUUGGUGUUGCGGGGAAUUUGGACUGUUACUUUGAAAAAAUUAGAGUGUUUAAAGCAGACUAUCGCCUGAAUACAUUAGCAUGGAAUAAUGAAAUAGGACGUUCGAUCCUAUUUUGUCGGUUUCUAGGAUCGACGUA